rnacentral:rRNA from 1 species
UACGUAGGGUGCGAGCGUUGUCCGGAAUUACUGGGCGUAAAGAGCUCGUAGGUGGUUUGUCGCGUUGUUCGUGAAAACUCACAGCUUAACUGUGGGCGUGCGGGCGAUACGGGCAGACUGGAGUACUGCAGGGGAGACUGGAAUUCCUGGUGUAGCGGUAGAAUGCGCAGAUAUCAGGAGGAACACCGGUGGCGAAGGCGGGUCUCUGGGCAGUAACUGACGCUAAGGAGCGAAAGCGUGGGGAGCGAACAGG